rnacentral:tRNA from 1 species
CUGUUCUACCGUGAUGGCUUCAUGGUUAGUGGUUUCUAUGUUGACUAUGUGGUACACGCUCUGUGGUUCAAAGCUCGCGUAGAAGAAUCUCUG